rnacentral:rRNA from 1 species
GACGAACGCUGGCGGCGUGCCUAAUACAUGCAAGUCGAGCGAGUCUGCCUUGAAGAUCGGAGUGCUUGAACUCUGUGAAACAAGAUACAGGCUAGCGGCGGACGGGUGAGUAACACGUGGGUAACCUGCCCAAGAGAUCGGGAUAACACCUGGAAACAGAUGCUAAUACCGGAUAACAACAGAUGAUGCCUAUCAACUGUUUAAAAGAUGGUUCUGCUAUCACUCUUGGAUGGACCUGCGGUGCAUUAGCUAGUUGGUAGGGUAACGGCCUACCAAGGCGAUGAUGCAUAGCCGAGUUGAGAGACUGAUCGGCCACAUUGGGACUGAGACACGGCCCAAACUCCUACGGGAGGCAGCAGUAGGGAAUCUUCCACAAUGGACGCAAGUCUGAUGGAGCAACGCCGCGUGAGUGAAGAAGGGUUUCGGCUCGUAAAGCUCUGUUGUUGGUGAAGAAGGACAGGGGUAGUAACUGACCUUUGUUUGACGGUAAUCAAUUAGAAAGUCACGGCUAACUACGUG